GGUCCUAGUGCCCCAGCACUAGCUAGCAGUGGGCACACCAAUUCCAGUGCUAGAGGGUUCACUCAGGGUGAAGGUUUGUCCAUAUGCCGGGAAUCCAACAAUGAGCUUCUCAGGAGAUGCUCCACUUUCAUCCCAGAAAAUGUGCACUUUCGAAGCCUAUAAACCAAGACCAUGUGCAACAAAACACCCCAAGGAUGAAGAUCUGUUGCUUACAUUCCCUCAAGUAUUCCUGAACAUGGUAGACCACUUACUGUGACAGCUGGGGGAUCUCAUAGCCAGACUGGAUGAUGGACACAACACCAGCUACUGUGGCAGUGAUCAUCAGCCUGGGUCUACUGCUCUCAAAGACUUCUUCUUCAAAAGCUUCAAGCAUUCUCUACAGAAUAGUAACAAUGCUCACAGAAAUUGCUCUGUGUGCUUGUGGUCAAGUGACCAGGACAUUUUACUGGAUGAAGAGCAUUAUAAGAAAGGUGUUAGAGCUGUCUUGAAAUAUUAACCCCGUAUAUUGCAAGACCACUGCAACUCUCAUCCCUCACCAGGGAAGCUUCUUUACACAGCAAGCGGCAGUUAAUACAGACUGACAGCUGGUGGAAAGCGUUCUGCUCUUAAGAGGCUAUCCGGAUCACACCCCACUUCCCCAAUGCUCAGGGAACAUUGGAGAAAAAGUGGAGCCGGAGGUUGGGGAAGAUUGCUGAGAAAUAAUCUCGACGAUGGGACUGCUGCACCCACGAACGUACGAGACGCACAAGAUCAAGCCAAUCAGCAGAGUAUGGAGCCGGAAGGGUCUCAGGAGGUCUCACCCUUAGGCAACAGAGGGAAAGAGAAUCAGUUUUCCUCGGUUGUUAGGGACAUGGUAGUUUGUCCAUCCUCCAGUAGAUGGCGCCAUACACCCAUGUAAAUAGCCCCUGAAAGUUGGGCGUGGAAUGAGGGAAGUCUGGGGAGAAUUGAAAGUGGGUAGCGGUGUGGGAGGUGAUGAAUAUGAUCUAAGUACAAUGAUUUAUGCACUAUAUUACCAAAGAAUAAAUAUGAAUAAAGAUAAAGGAAUGGAGUUACUGAAUCUGACAAUUAGAGCUAUUGGGCAAAAGUAAGCUGGCAGACUCAGUGCUAAAACUCUCCAGAGGCUGCCCGACGAUCUAGUAUAUGGUGCCAUAUGGGAAUAAUCUAUCACGGUGGAUAUAGGACAGUGUAGAGAUUCUGCCAAAAACGAGUAGAAAAUAGA